rnacentral:rRNA from 1 species
AUUGAACGCUGGCGGAAUGCUUUACACAUGCAAGUCGAACGGCAGCACGGACUUCGGUCUGGUGGCGAGUGGCGAACGGGUGAGUAAUGUAUCGGAACGUGCCCAGUCGUGGGGGAUAACGUAGUGAAAAUUACGCUAAUACCGCGUACGAUCUAUGGAUGAAAGCGGGGGAUCGCAAGACCUCGCGCGAUUGGAGCGGCCGAUAUCAGAUUAGGUAGUUGGUGGGGUAAAGGCCCACCAAGCCAACGAUCUGUAGCUGGUCUGAGAGGACGACCAGCCACACUGGAACUGAGACACGGUCCAGACUCCUACGGGAGUCAGCAGUGGGGAAUUUUGGACAAUGGGCGAAAGCCUGAUCCAGCCAUUCCGCGUGCAGGAUGAAGGCCCUCGGGUUGUAAACUGCUUUUGUACAGAACGAAAGGGUUUCUACUAAUACUAGGAGCUCAUGACGGUACUGUAAGAAUAAGCACCGGCUAACUACGUGCCAGCCGCCGCCGUAA